rnacentral:rRNA from 1 species
UACAGAGGUCUCAAGCGUUGUUCGGAUUCAUUGGGCGUAAAGGGUGCGUAGGUGGCGCUGUAAGUCGGGUGUGAAAUUUCGGAGCUUAACUCCGAAACUGCAUUCGAUACUGCCGUGCUUGAGGACUGGAGAGGAGACUGGAAUUUACGGUGUAGCGGUGAAAUGCGUAGAUAUCGUAAGGAAGACCAGUGGCGAAGGCGGGUCUCUGGACAGUUCCUGACGCUGAGGCACGAAGGUCAGGGGGAGCAAACGGG